rnacentral:piRNA from 1 species
UAUUAUGCUAUGUUUAGGUAUGAGCCCA